CUGCUUCUGGCCCCUCAGAAGCUGGGCAUUCCCACGCACCUUCUAAUUAAACAAUGUAACGGGAAAUCAUCCCAAGAAGAAAGAACCCACAAGCUCCGGUGAAACUUCAGCAGGAAUGCGGAGGGUGCUAAAGCCAGUCGUCCAACCGAGGGGCGGGGAAAUCUCUCACGCCCCCGGCGUCUCGCCAGCCACCCCUGGACCUUGUGGCGACAUCGGGCAGGGGCCCUGGGAACCCCAGUGCGUGGUUCCAAGAGGGAGACCGCGCCCUCCCGCAGGGCAGGGGCGACCUGUAUCACCUGCAAAAGAAGUAACAUAUGGAAUCCUGUGAACUGGACUGACUUCAUCCUGGAAUCAUAGUGGGGUCUCAGUCCCAGAUCACCAGCAGCAUGGACAGUGGAGCCAGUAGAGGGUUACUGGAGUGACACAUGUGGAAAAAUACUGAACAUAUUUUUAUUUUCCCAUGGCAUCUGGCAAUGUCUCACAUAUGACGACAUUUGGUCUGUGAAUGUUACUGAGCACUGUGACUAAUGGUGACUGAGCCCACCAAAGGCCACUUCGGAGAGAAGGCUGUGAAAAAUGCGUGGGAGAGGGCUUCAGGGAAGAUGGAGAAGGCUGGGCAAAGACCCACUGGGCCAUGA